rnacentral:rRNA from 1 species
GACACGGCCCAGACUCCUACGGGAGGCAGCAGUGGGGAAUAUUGGACAAUGGGCGCAAGCCUGAUCCAGCCAUACCGCGUGUGUGAAGAAGGCCUUCGGGUUGUAAAGCACUUUAAGCAGGGAGAAAAAGUUAUAAGUUAAUACCUUAUAACCCUGAUGUUACCUGCAGAAUAAGCACCGGCUAAUUCCGUGCCAGCAGCCGCGGUAAUACGGAAGGUGCAAGCGUUAAUCGGAAUUACUGGGCGUAAAGCGCGCGUAGGUGGUUUGUUAAGUUGGAUGUGAAAGCCCUGGGCUCAACCUAGGAACUGCAUCCAAAACUAACUCACUAGAGUACGAUAGAGGGAGGUAGAAUUCAUAGUGUAGCGGUGGAAUGCGUAGAUAUUAUGAAGAAUACCAGUGGCGAAGGCGGCCUCCUGGAUCUGUACUGACACUGAGGUGCGAAAGCGUGGGUAGCGAACAGGAUUAGAUACCCUGGUAGUCCACGCCGUAAACGAUGACAACUAGCUGUUGGGAGACUAUGUCUUUCAGUGGCGCAGCUAACGCUUUAAGUUGUCCGCCUGGGGAGUACGGCCGCAAGGCUAAAACUCAAAUGAAUUGACGGGGACCCGCACAAGCGGUGGAGCAUGUGGUUUAAUUCGAUGCAACGCGAAAAACCUUACCUAUGCUUGACAUACUUGGAAUACUUUGUAAUGAAGUAGUGCCUUCGGGAGCCAAGAUACAGGUGCUGCAUGGCUGUCGUCAGCUCGUGUCGUGAGAUGUUCCGUUAAGUCGGAUAACGAGCGCAACCCUUACCCUUAUUUGCCAGCGAUUCGGUCGGGAACUAUAAGGGGACUGCCGGUGAUAAACCGGAGGAAGGUGAGGACGACGUCAAGUCAUCAUGGCCCUUACGAGUAGGGCUACACACGUGCUACAAUGGGAGAUACAGACGGACGCUAAGCCGCGAGGUGGUGCUAAUCCUAAAAAGUCUUUCGUAGUCCGGAUUGGAGUCUGCAACUCGACUCCAUGAAGUCGGAAUCGCUAGUAAUCGCGGAUCAGCAUGCCGCGGUGAAUACGUUCUCGGGUCUUGUACACACCGCCCGUCACACCAUGGAAGUGGAUUGCACCAGAAGUAGAUAGUCUAACCUUAGGGAGGGCGUUUACCACGGUGUGCUUCAUGACUGGGGUGAAGUCGUAACAAGGUAGCCGUAGGGGAACCUGUGGCUG